CAGCAGUAGGGAAUAUUGCUCAAUGGGGGAAACCCUGAAGCAGCAACGCCGCGUGGAGGAUGAAGGUUUUCGGAUUGUAAACUCCUUUUGUUAGAGAAGAUAAUGACGGUAUCUAACGAAUAAGCACCGGCUAACUCCGUGCC
rnacentral:rRNA from 1 species